AGAGUUAUGGUUUAGUAGUAGAAUGCCUGCCUACCAAGUAUGAUAACCUGAGUUCAAACCUUAGAAAUUCCA
rnacentral:tRNA from 1 species